AGGUGAGCUCAGCCAGGACGGAAACCUGGCGUGGCGUAAAAGGGCAAAAGCUUACCUGAUUUCGAUUUUCAGUACGAACACAGACCGUAAAUGCGC
rnacentral:ncRNA from 1 species